GAUGAACGCUGGCGGCGUGCCUAAUACAUGCAAGUCGAACGCAUUGUGGUUGAAAUGAUAUGAAGAACUUGUUCAGAUUUGAUUUUCAACAUUGCAAUGAGUGGCGAACGGGUGAGUAACACGUGGGAAACCUACCUCUUAGCAGGGGAUAACAUUUGGAAACAAAUGCUAAUACCGUAUAAUAAUUAAAACCGCAUGGUUUUAGUUUAAAAGAUGGUCUUGCUAUCACUAAGAGAUGGUCCCGCGGUGUAUUAGUUAGUUGGUGAGGUAAUGGCUCACCAAGACAAUGAUACAUAGCCGAGUUGAGAGACUGACCGGCCACAAUGGGACUGAGACACGGCCCAUACUCCUACGAGAGGCAGCAGUAGGGAAUCGUUCCACAAUGGACGAAAGUCUGAUGGAGCAACGCCGCGUGUGUGAUGAAGGGUUUCGGCUCGUAAACACUGUUGUAAGAGAAGAAUGACAUUGAGAGUAACUGUUCAAUGUGUGACGGUA
rnacentral:rRNA from 1 species